GUCUACAGCCAUGGCACCCUGAACAAGCCCGAUCCCGUCUGAUCACGGAAGCUAAGCCGGGUCAGGCCUGGUUAGUACUUGGAUGGGAGACCACCUAGGAAGAGCAGGUGCUGUAGGUG
rnacentral:rRNA from 1 species